UUAAAGAGUUCUAUAACUCCCAAACCCAUGUGAACAUACCUAACGUUGCCUCGGCAGGUCGCACCUACCUUGUAGCACCCUACCCUGUAGGGCCUACCCGGGAGGUGCGGGUAAGCCUGCCGGCGGCCCACCAAACUCUGUUUGAUAUUGAAUUCUGAACCUAUAACUAAAUAAGUUAAAACUUUCAACAACGGAUCUCUUGGUUCUGGCAUCGAUGAAGAACGCAGCGAAAUGCGAUAAGUAAUGUGAAUUGCAGAAUUCAGUGAAUCAUCGAAUCUUUGAACGCAUAUUGCGCCCAUUAGUAUUCUAGUGGGCAGGACCGUUCGAGCGUCAUUUCAACCCUUAAGCCUUUGUUGCUUAGUGUUGGGAGCCUACGGCAACGUAGCUCCUCAAAGUUAGUGGCGGAGUUGGUUCACACUCUAGACGUAGUAAUUUUUUAUCUCGCCUAUUAGUUGGACUAAUCCCCUGCCGUAAAACCCCCAAUUUAUCAAGGUUGACCUCGAAUCGGUUCAGACAAACUCGCUAAAUUGA
rnacentral:rRNA from 1 species